UAGGGAAUCUUGCGCAAUGGGCGAAAGCCUGACGCAGCAACGCCGCGUGGGGGAUGACGGCUUUCGGGUUGUAAACCCCUUUCAGCAGGGACGAAACUGACGGUACCUGCAGAAGAAGCCCCGGCCAACUACGUGCCAGCAGCCGCGGUAACACGUAGGGGGCAAGCGUUGUCCGGAAUUAUUGGGCGUAAAGAGCUCGUAGGUGGUUCGGUAAGUCAGGUGUGAAAGGCUGGGGCUCAACCCUAGGACCGCACCUGAUACUGCUGUGACUUGAGUCCGGUAGAGGAGUGUGGAAUUCCUGGUGUAGCGGUGAAAUGCGCAGAUAUCAGGAGGAACACCAGCGGCGAAGGCGGCACUCUGGGCCGGUACUGACACUGAGGAGCGAAAGCGUGGGGAGCAAACAGGAUUAGAUACCCCCGUAGUCC
rnacentral:rRNA from 1 species